UACAGAGGUGGCAAGCGUUGUUCGGAAUUACUGGGCGUAAAGGGCGCGUAGGCGGUUCGUUAAGUCCUGUGUGAAAUCCCCCGGCUCAACUGGGGAACUGCACAGGAAACUAGCGGGCUUGAGGACUGGAGAGGAGACUGGAAUUUACGGUGUAGCGGUGAAAUGCGUAGAUAUCGUAAGGAAGACCAGUGGCGAAGGCGGGUCUCUGGACAGUUCCUGACGCUGAGGCACGAAGGCCAGGGGAGCAAACGGG
rnacentral:rRNA from 1 species